rnacentral:rRNA from 1 species
UUUGUUUGAAAGCUUCGGCGGCCACGGAUUGGCUCGCGUCCCAUUAGGCAGUUGGCGGGGUAACGGCCCACCAAACCGACGAUGGGUAGGGGUUCUGAGAGGAAGGUCCCCCACAAUGGAACUGAGACACGGUCCAUACUCCUACGGGAGGCAGCAGUGAGGAAUAUUGGUCAAUGGGCGGAAGCCUGAACCAGCCAUGCCGCGUGCAGGAAUAAGGCCCUACGGGUCGUAAACUGCUUUUGUACGGGAGCAAUAAGGGUCACGAGUGGCCUGAUGAGAGUACCGUACGAAUAAGCAUCGGCUAACUCCGUGCCAGCAGCCGCGGUAAUACGGAGGAUGCGAGCGUUAUCCGGAUUCAUUGGGUUUAAAGGGUGCGUAGGCGGCGUGCCAAGUCAGGGGUGAAAGGUUCCGGCUCAACUGGGACAGUGCCUUUGAUACUGGUGUGCUGGAGUGCGCUUGCCGUGGGAGGAAUGAGUGGUGUAGCGGUGAAAUGCUUAGAUAUCACUCAGAACACCGAUUGCGAAGGCAUCUCACGAAGGCGUAACUGACGCUGAGGCACGAAAGCGUGGGGAUCAAACAG